rnacentral:rRNA from 1 species
AUGAUUUGGCGAAAUGAAGUUUCUGUUCGAUCUUGGUGGCAAAAGGCGGUGAGCAACGCGGAUCAUAACAGAAAGGCUCUUGCCUCUGUUAUGAUGCUUGUCUCAUGGGAGAUAUGGAAAGAACGAAAUGGCAGCAUGUUUCGCAACGCCGCGACCCCGACCACAAUUAUCGUCACGAGAAUUAAAGAAGAGGCCCACAUGUGGACUUUGGCUGGGGCCAAGCAUUUGAGUAGUCUUAUGUUGCGAGAGUAG